GACAGAGGGUGCAAACGUUGUUCGGAAUCACUGGGCGUAAAGCGCGUGUAGGCGGCCCUGCAAGUCGGAUGUGAAAUCCCACGGCUCAACCGUGGAAGUGCAUUCGAAACUGCAGGGCUAGAGUCCUGGAGAGGAAGGUGGAAUGCUUGGUGUAGAGGUGAAAUUCGUAGAUAUCAAGCGGAACACCGGUGGCGAAGGCGGCCUUCUGGACAGUGACUGACGCUGAGACGCGAAAGCGUGGGGAGCAAACAGG
rnacentral:rRNA from 1 species